GGCGGCGUGCCUAAUACAUGCAAGUCGAGCGGAAUGAUGAAGAAGCUUGCUUCUUCUGAUUUUAGCGGCGGACGGGUGAGUAACACGUGGGCAACCUACCUUGUAGAUUGGGAUAACUCCGGGAAACCGGGGCUAAUACCGAAUAAUCCAUUUUGCUUCAUGGCGAGAUGUUAAAAGGCGGCUUCGGCUGUCACUACGAGAUGGGCCCGCGGCGCAUUAGCUAGUUGGUAGGGUAAUGGCCUACCAAGGCGACGAUGCGUAGCCGACCUGAGAGGGUGAUCGGCCACACUGGGACUGAGACACGGCCCAGACUCCUACGGGAGGCAGCAGUAGGGAAUCUUCCACAAUGGACGAAAGUCUGAUGGAGCAACGCCGCGUGAGUGAAGAAGGUUUUCGGAUCGUAAAACUCUGUUGUAAGGGAAGAACACGUACGAGAGUAACUGCUCGUACCUUGACGGUACCUUAUUAGAAAGCCACGGCUAACUACGUG
rnacentral:rRNA from 1 species